GGGGAUGUAGCUCAGUGGUAGAGCGCACGCUUCGCAUGUGUCAGGCCCCGGGUUCAAUCCCCGGCAUCUCCA
rnacentral:tRNA from 1 species